CCUACGGGAGGCAGCAGUAGGGAAUCUUCCACAAUGGGCGAAAGCCUGAUGGAGCAACGCCGCGUGGGUGAAGAAGGUCUUCGGAUCGUAAAACCCUGUUGUUAGAGAAGAAAGUGCGUGAGAGUAACUGUUCACGUUUCGACGGUAUCUAACCAGAAAGCCACGGCUAACUACGUGCCAGCAGCCGCGGUAAUACGUAGGUGGCAAGCGUUAUCCGGAUUUAUUGGGGGUAAAGGGAACGCAGGCGGUCUUUUAAGUCUGGUGUGAAAGCGUUCGGCUUAAACCGAGUAGUGCAGUGGAAACUGGGUGCCUUGAGUGCAGGAGAGGUGAGUGGAAUGCCAGGUGUAGCGGUGAAAUGCGUAGAUAUAUGGAAGAACACCGGUGGCGAAGGCGGCUCUCUGGUCUGUAACUGACGCUGAGGUUCGAAAGCGUGGGUAGCAAACAGGAUUAGAUACCCUUGUAGUC
rnacentral:rRNA from 1 species